GAAAUGCGAUAAGUAGUGUGAAUUGCAGAAUUCAGUGAAUCAUCGAAUCUUUGAACGCACAUUGCGCCCUUUGGUAUUCCAAAGGGCAUGCCUGUUCGAGCGUCAUUUGUACCCUCAAGCUUUGCUUGGUGUUGGGCGUCUUGUCUCUAGCAUUGCUGGAGACUCGCCUUAAAGUAAUUGGCAGCCGGCCUACUGGUUUCGGAGCGCAGCACAAGUCGCACUCUCUAUCAGCAAAGGUCUAGCAUCCAUUAAGCCUUUUUUCAACUUUUGACCUCGGAUCAGGUAGGGAUACCCGCUGAACUUAAGC
rnacentral:misc_RNA from 1 species